AUGUCUACUUCUUCACAGCACACAGUCUCUCAGAUUUUCCGAUCACAGUCAUUGAUCAGUCAUCAGAUUUAUUGUGAAUUUGUAUCUCUUUUUGCAUCUUUGCUUCUUAGAGCUAGCAGAGCUUUCCAGAGAUUUCCCUCACCUGCUUGCCUCAUACAGCUUCCUCCUUAUGGAUGGUCUGCUUUUCCUCUUUCAUUUACAAUAUUAUCUUUCAAAAGACCAAAUAAAUGCAGCUUUGAAAAUCUUUUCUUGUCCUUCUCCUGCAAGUGAUCAUGUCCAAAAGCCUGACAGCAGAAGUCCAAAAAUAAUCACCUUGUUUACAGGGCUUCCUAGUAGGAGUUGCCAACUAAUAACCAACUAGACAGAACAAUUAACAGGCAAAAGGACGUAUUACCAGACACAUAGUUAAAAAGUUUAAUCAGAAAUAGUGCAGGACGCUUUUUACUGUAAAAUGGCUUUAUUUUUCUUGAAAGCAGGACAACACUGCAACAAGCUGGUGUUUCACUUUCUAAUAAUAAAAAUAUCUCUGGGGUCA
rnacentral:lncRNA from 1 species